rnacentral:rRNA from 1 species
UGGGUAACCUGCCCAAGAGAUCGGGAUAACACCUGGAAACAGAUGCUAAUACCGGAUAACAACAGAUGAUGCCUAUCAACUGUUUAAAAGAUGGUUCUGCUAUCACUCUUGGAUGGACCUGCGGUGCAUUAGCUAGUUGGUAGGGUAACGGCCUACCAAGGCGAUGAUGCAUAGCCGAGUUGAGAGACUGAUCGGCCACAUUGGGACUUAGACACGGCCCAAACUCCUACGGGAGGCAGCAGUU